GUACUUGGCAUACUAUGUUUGUGAUGGCUCGAGUUUUCGUCUAGGCUUGGCCCUUAGAAUUGUUCUAGGUUUCCAUGGUAUUUUAGGAGUUUUAGAAGCCUUGAUGUAGUGACUUAAGCCCAAGAGAAGAGUGACUUUAGUUACUUGGGAAUUUCGGCCUUAUUGGGAAUUUAGGUCCAAAGGUUUAG